UAACAAGGUCUCCGUUGGUGAACCAGCGGAGGGAUCAUUACUGAGUUUACGCUCUACAACCCUUUGUGAACAUACCUAUAACUGUUGCUUCGGCGGGUAGGGUCUCCGUGACCCUCCCGGCCUCCCGCCCCCGGGCGGGUCGGCGCCCGCCGGAGGAUAACCAAACUCUGAUUUAACGACGUUUCUUCUGAGUGGUACAAGCAAAUAAUCAAAACUUUUAACAACGGAUCUCUUGGUUCUGGCAUCGAUGAAGAACGCAGCGAAAUGCGAUAAGUAAUGUGAAUUGCAGAAUUCAGUGAAUCAUCGAAUCUUUGAACGCACAUUGCGCCCGCCAGCAUUCUGGCGGGCAUGCCUGUUCGAGCGUCAUUUCAACCCUCAAGCUCUGCUUGGUGUUGGGGCCCUACAGCUGAUGUAGGCCCUCAAAGGUAGUGGCGGACCCUCCCGGAGCCUCCUUUGCGUAGUAACUUUACGUCUCGCACUGGGAUCCGGAGGGACUCUUGCCGUAAAACCCCCAAUUUUCCAAAGGUUGACCUCGGAUCAGGUAGGAAUACCCGCUGAACUUAAGCAUAUA
rnacentral:rRNA from 2 species